CUUUAUCUAACCAAAGUAUUUUGGUGGUAAACACAAUUAUCACUUGCUCAGCAAGUGUAAAUUGGCGGUCUAUUUUUCUGUGAACAUUGCUUAAAACAUUACAAAUGAUGUCAUUACGUUAAUAAAGUCGGUUUCAUUCUUCACUCACAAGAAAGGAGAAGGAAAAGAUUUCUUUGUGUCCCAGGCCCUGUCAUUAAAACCUUUCCCACUGUGGAGAACAGGUUUAGUUGCCCAGGCACCUUCAGUGUCUCAGCUGAGCGACCAGGGCCUUCCACAUUGCAAAAAUUCCCAUGAUGGCCAACAGAGAGAGCUCGAGCACCACAGACCCGGAGAGGAGAGUUCCUCUGCCCAGGCAGUGAUGGCCAGCAGAAGGCGCACCAUCGGCUUUUCUGACCCAGGGCACCUGAGAGCAGGGAGGGCUUUGAUUGCUCCCAGAGUACUCAGGGCCUCUGCCGCUGCCUCAGUACAGAGAGCAGAGCUGCAUUUCCAGCAGGUUGUGCCGCCCGCCCCAGGGGAGAUCUUGGGAGCUUUGUAGCAACUUGGCAUCUCCUGAGUCGCCAGAGAGAAUUUGUCUUAUUGUACUGAGUGCUGAGGAGUGGGCGCUGGGUGGCUUCCCUGGGCAAGGUGGUUGCUGAGAUGCACAGGCCCUUGCAUUUUCUGGGCUGUUCCCGUGUUUCAUUCCUCCCCUUCCUGGACAGUAUUUGAACAAGACAUAUUUUACUAAAGGUCUUGUGGAUUGCGGAGUCCCACGACAUCACCUCAUCGAUGCAGUCGAUGGUUUCUUCCAGAUUCAGGCUUGUUUCCGGGAAGAAACCCUGACAGAAAUUCAGAAGAACAGGAGCUGCAUUCCAUUAGGACAUGAAUACAUGAAAUACUCGUCUUGGGAACUCCUAGAAGAAUGAGCUGGGACCCACUUUCGAGUCCUGCUAGAACCAGUGACCGAGAAAAUAAAAACGCCCUGGAAGACAAGUGUAAUGCAUUGAGGUCUGUGAAAGCCACAAAGGAAGCAAAAGUCAAACAGCUGAAGGAGAAAGCACAUAACCUAGAAGAAUUCUAUGAACGAAGAAAAGUGCCUACAAAAAAGGCAGUCUGGAUCCUGGGGACUUCCUCCGUUAACUGGAUGAUUCUGCAUGCCCCACCCCCAUGGACUAUUAGGCACAUCCACCUCCUGAACCUUGGUGGCCCUGGGGCCACCCGGAACCCCUCCACCUGCAACACUUGA
rnacentral:lncRNA from 1 species